rnacentral:lncRNA from 1 species
GCAGACCCCUAAGAAGGAACUGAUGAUUCAGACAGGAGGAACAACACUAGACAAUGGCUACGAAAACUGUGCGAGAUAAUUCAGAUGACUGGAUCAGUAUGAUUAGGGACAGGAAAAAAGCCGAGCUCAGGAAGCAGCAACAACGCCAGGACUUCAAAAUUCUGUGGUUUGCCUGGACUUCUUCCUCCCUGUGCUUCUGCACAUCACACGUCUGUCUAACCUCACCUCCUGCUGAGCUCUGUGGUGUCUCCUGAGAGAUAUCCCGCUGACAUGGCCCAGUGAAGUGCAUCCAACGUUGUAAACCCAUACUUUUCUGCACACAGCUGACCUGUAUUCCUGGCCAUUAAGCUGCUGCCUGUCUCUCUCUGCACCUGCUGGACACCUUGCGGUUCCAGGACACAUUCCUCACAUCUGCCUCUGAGCUCUCCAAGGGUUUCUGCGAUGUUUUAGUCCGGUAUUUCAGUCAUCCCCCGUGCUAAAGCGCCAGUAACACCUAGCAGGCUUCUAACCUGCCGGGGGUUAAUUCAGGGUCUCCUUGUGGUCUCUUCUGCGGCUUUCUUGUUUUCUCUGAUCCUUUGGUCCUUCACCUGAGACUUGCAGCACUGGCUCUCAGAUCAAAUGCUUCUCGAUAGUUUCGCUUUCCCUUGUGACCCCAGCACAGAUCAGCUCUUCUGUACAGUUCAUUUGACAUACGAAGAUGGGAGCAGAUGUAUUAGGUCUUGGCAGAGAUCUCCACGUCUCGCAGCAGGGACAAGUAGUGGACAUCUAUGGGAAACAGGGAAUCGAACCCACUUUGACGGGAUGCGAGAAACACCAAGCUCUGGUCGGACCGAAGUUGAGUAGGGUUAAUGCAGAUUUACACCGGAGUCAGAGGAGGCACAGCCAGGGUUUGUGCUUGUGCUGCCAGCGAAGUCAGCGAAGCUUUGUCAUUCAUUUCGGUAGGAACAGGAACACCAUUUGUCGUAGAAGGAUCGCUUGACACAACCUUUUUUGACGUUAUCUUCUGCCUACAAAUGGGGGAAAAUGGCAGUGAACCUAAAAGCCUCAUAUCUUCACGUAACCAACAAUUAUCCUGUCGGUUCAUAAGAAGAGAAAACACCCUCUGCAGCGCAUGCAACGCUAGGCAAAAGUGUUUGCUGAAUUCACCUGAUCUCUGUAAUGCAACUUUUUAG